GCGUGUGGUUUAAUUCGAUGCUACACGAAGAACCUUACCUGGGUUUGACAUACUAGUGGUAGUGGAACGAAAGUGAAGCGACCCUUCGGGGAGCUAGUACAGGUGCUGCAUGGCUGUCGUCAGCUCGUGCCGUGAGGUGUCGGGUUAAGUCCCGUAACGAGCGCAACACAUUGCCCUUAGUUACAAGUGUCUAAGGGGACUGCCGGCAGGUAAGCCGGAGGCCCCCUGGGGAUGACGUCAAGUCAGCAUGGCCCUUAUAUCCAGGGCUACACACACGCUACAAUGGUCAGUACAAAGGGCAGCGAAGCCGCGAGGUGAAGCGAAUCCCAACAAAGCUGAUCGUAGUUCGGAUUGCAGGCUGCAACUCGCAUGCAUGAAGCUGGAGUUGCUAGUAGCCGCGCGUCAGCUACUACGUCCGCUGAAUACGUUCCCGGGGCUUGUACACACCGCCCGUCACGUCAUGGGAGUCGGUAACGCCUGAAGCUGGUUGAAUAGCUCGAGAGAGAGGG
rnacentral:rRNA from 1 species